rnacentral:lncRNA from 10 species
UUUUUUUUCUAUGUAUGUGAAGUGGUAAUAGUUUUUCUCGUGUAUCAGGCAACUACCAACUUAUUUUAGACCAGAAAUUCUUGGAAAUGGUACCGAUCCAGUUGGCAUAAAAUGUGCAAGCACUAUUCUAUUGAUUCCUCAAAAAGAUGCAAUUGCUUUACUCAUAGAGUUAUCAGUUAUUUUUCUGGCUAUUUCACUUGAAGUAGCCAUGCUUUGUCUUUUUUUCUAUGGAGAUACGUGGCCAAAACUAAGUCUUUUCACCAGCUGGAUGAUAGGAAAUUUGAUAAAAUUUGAGCAGUAUAAAAACUUUCCCAUUGACUUUAUAUGAUUGAAUUUCCACUAUGUAAAAUUAAACUAAUUAUUUCUUAUGCUACCCAAUAUAUAGUUUAUUAUUUGAAAACUAUGUCCCCAUUUUUCCUCAAGAACAUGAUUUUGUCUUUUGCAUCUCAGUGCAGGGGUUGGACAGCAUAAUUUCUUCUCCUAGAAACACAUUUUCUGCUGCUUGUAGCUACUAUUUCUAUUUUUUCAUCAACAGCUACAGGAGUAAGUGGAGUUCCUGACAUCUCUGUGUAAUCAGUGGUAUGAUCACAUACCCCAUAUUGACUUUUUCUUUUGAAGUUUAUGCUGCUGUCUCUUCAGUACCUUGAGCUUGACCUCUAGCUUUAAGCAGUAAAGGUAUCAAAGAAAAUCAGUUGCCAGAGUCAGUCUGUUUGCUUGUGUCCUCCUAACCCACUGAUGGCACCUCUGACUCCUUGACAUUGUAUUAUUUGUUUCUCAGAGAAGUAAAGCAAUUUUUUUUUUCCUCUGUCACCCAGGCUGGAAUGCAGUGGCGGGAUCUCGGCUCACUGCAACCACCUCCCGGGUUUGAGUGAUUCUCAUGCCUCAGUUUCCCGAGUAGUUGGGAUUAUAGGUGCCUGCCACCAUGCCUGACUAAUUUGUGUAUUUUUAGUAGAGACGAGGUUUCACCAUGUGGGUCAGGCUCGUCUCAAACUCCUGACCUCAAGUGAUCUGCCCAGUUUGCCCUCCCAAAGUGCUGGUAUCACAGGCGUGAACCACCACACCCGGCCAAAGCAGUUUUUUUUACAUAUAGACAUUUAAUAUAUUGACUUUGGUUGAUUCUUACCUCACUUCCAAGAUAAUUGUUUCUGUUAAAUUACAUGUAUUUUUAGGCUUGAGUCAUCCACUAUAUUUAUGAGUUGGUCAUUUCUUUCAUGAGUUGAGCUUGUUUUUAAAAGUUCUACUUUUAAAGUCCCCUUCUGUCUCUCCUGCAGCCACUUUCACUGUAACAUUUAUCAUGUUAUUCCUGGCAGCCAGUCUUCUUAACUCUCCAUCAUUACUUUUGGCAGGUUACAGCAGUAUCACUUAGGGUUCUCUUAGUUCAUUUUUAAUGAACAUCCAAAAGAUGCUCCUAUUGCAAUAAAACCAUAAGAAAAGAUUAAUAGAAUAAGGGUUUAUUCUAUUAAUAGGCAAUUUGGGGCUGCUACAGUGGCUCCAUGAUACCAAUGGUUCUGGGCUCUUUCUUUUCCGCUAUCCUUAGUAUAUGGCCUUCUUCCUCCUGCUUGCAAAAUGGUGGCAUACAGAAGCCUUUCCUACAUAUUCCAGAAUAUGAAGAAAGACAAGGGGGAAAAGGGACGUGCCAACUGGUUAAACAACAAUCACCAUAUCAAAGACCCACCCACUAGAUUUCUUCUUCUUACUGGCCAGAACUUUGUAGCGUGCCCACCCUCUAUACACAACAGGCUGCAAAGGAGGCUGGAAUAUCACGUUUUAGUUGGGCAGUGACUAUCCAGUGCAAAAUCCAGAUUCCGUUAGUAAAGGAUGUUGAUGGAGUGGAUGGAUAUUAAACAGAGAUUCAACUUUCCUGUUCAGAAACGUGUUAUAACUCCAUAUAUUGCUUUAAUUCUAUCUAUCCUAGAUAGACUUACAAGGCUAGAAUAAGACCUUUAGAGGCACUAACCAACCACCAAAAAGAGGCUAAUCACCUCCCAUAUGUAAAUCAAAUUGUACAAAAAAUUGAAAAAAA